rnacentral:rRNA from 1 species
UACAGAGGGGGCAAGCGUUGUUCGGAAUUACUGGGCGUAAAGGGCGCGUAGGCGGCCUUCUAAGUCGAACGUGAAAUCCCCGGGCUCAACCCGGGAACUGCGUCCGAUACUGGAAGGCUUGAAUCCGGGAGAGGGAUGCGGAAUUCCAGGUGUAGCGGUGAAAUGCGUAGAUAUCGGGAGGAACACCAGUGGCGAAGGCGGGUCUCUGGGCAACAACUGACGCUGAGGAGCGAAAGCGUGGGGAGCGAACAGG